rnacentral:rRNA from 1 species
CCCUUAGAUGUCCUGGGCCGCACGCGCGCUACACUGACAUGUUCGACAAGCCUCCUAGUUCGACAGGAUUUGGGAAAUCUUUGAACGCAUGUCGUGAUAGGGAUAGAUCAUUGCAAUUAUUGAUCUUGAACGAGGAAUUCCUAGUAAACGCGAGUCAUCAGCUCGCAUUGAUUACGUCCCUGCCCUUUGUACACACCGCCCGUCGCACCUACCGAUUGAAUGUUUCGGUGAAGAUUCCGGAUAGGACUUUUUUGAUUUAUUUCAAUUUUGUCUUAAAAGCUAUCUAAACCUCAACAUUUAGAGGAAGGUGAAGUCGUAACA